rnacentral:miRNA from 1 species
AAAUCCGUGCUCUGACACUU